GCUCCGGCUCCUCAGAGAGCCUCGGCUAGGUGUGGAAACAGGAAGAGAACUAGAACUGGAAGUAAAGCAUUGAAGAUGUGACUGAAUUGCUGCAAUCUCAUGAUCAAAUUUGAAUGGAUGAGGAGUUGCUUUUUAGGGAUGAGCAAAGAAAGUGGUUUCUCGAGAUGGAAUCUACUGGUGAAGUUGCUGUGAACAUUGUUAAAAUGCCAAUAAAGGAUUUAGGAAUUACAGAAACCUGGUUGAUAAAGCAGUGCCAGGGUGUGAGAGAGUUGACUUCAAUUUUGAAAUAAGUUCCACUGGCUGGGUGUGGUGGCUCACACCUGCAAUCCCAGUACUUUAGGAGGCCGAGACUGGUAGAUCAUUUGAGGUCAGGAGUUCAAGACCAGCCUUGCCAACAUGGUGAAACCCCACCUCUACCAAAUUAGCCAGGUGUGGUGCACACCUGUAGUCCCAGCUACUUGGGAAGCUGAGGCAGGAGAAUCUCUUGAACCAGGGAGGAGGAGGUUGCAGUAAGCCGAGAUGGCGCCCCUGCACUCCAGCCUGGGUGACAGAGUGAGACCUUGCGUUUAAAAAAAAAAAAAAAGGAAAAGGAAAAAAAAGUUCUACUGUGGGUAAAAUGCUAUCAUGCUAUCAAACAGCAUCACAUGCUACAGAGAAGUCUUGUGAAAGGAUGUCAGUGUGGCAAACUUCAUUGUCUUUUAAGAAAUUGCCACAGCUAUCGUAAUCUUCAACCACCACCACCCUGAUGAGUCAGUAGCCAUCGUUAACGUUGGCGUAAGACCCUCCACCAGCAAAAAGAUUGUUAGCAUUUUUUUAGCAGUGAUGUAUUUAUCAAUUAUACAUAAUGCUAUUGUACACUUCUUAAUAGACUAUGGUAUAGUGUAACCAUAAUUUAUGCACUGGGAAACCAACAAAUUCAUGAGAUUCGCUUUAUUGUAGUGCUCUGGAAUUGAGCCUGCCGUGUUUCUGAGGUAUACCUGUGUAUUUAGUAUGUUCCUUGUAUAUAAAACCCCAUUUUAUAGGGUAGGAAACUAAGGCUUAGAGUUUGAGCAAUUUUCCCAUAGAUAACACCAAUAAAUUGAGGGCUGCAGAGACCACUUAAGUGGUUCUCUUAACAGUAGUCUAGACAUGACGUAAUGAGAUUUGGCUUAGGAGUGACAAUGGUAAGGAAGUUAAAGGAUUCAGGAACCAAAUACCAGUUAUUGAGAAGAAAGAAUGGCCUCAAAACAUCACUUCUCAAGGAAGCCUUGAUACCCUCACCCUUACUACACUGUAUCCUCCAUUUGAAUGUUGUCAAGAGCUCUUCUCACAAUUGUAAAUAAUAAUUGUGUAAUUUUGUUUUUUUUUUCCUACUUUAGGUUGCUCCUUGAGGGCAGGACAGUUCUUAUGGCUUUAUCCGUUGCGUAAGCACAGAGAGGUCUGCGAGGUCAAAACUAUUGUCAUGAUAGCAAGAUGCCUGUCUUUUUCAUUUAUUCUCACGGUGUGCAGAGGCUACAUGAUGUGUGAUGACAUCCUCAUUGAUGUUAAUGAAUGGUGCUAUACUUGAAUUUUCUAAGGUGUCAUUAGAUGAGGUCUUGCUGUGUUGCCCAGGCUAUUCACAGCUGCCAUCAUAGUGAACUACAGCCUGAAACUCCUGGGUUCAAGAGAUCCUUCUGCCUCAGCCUCCUGAGUAGCUGGAACUAUAGGCAUGCGCCACCAAGCCUGGGCUUUUAAAAAAAUUUUAAAAAGAAUUUUGAGACAGGAUCUUGCCAUGUUGCUCAGGCUAGUCUUCAACUCCUAGCCCUGAGUGAUCUUGCUUUGGGCCUCUCAAAAUGUUGAGUUAAUAGGCGUGAGCCACCAUACCCAGCCAAAAAUUUUUUUAGAGAUGGGAAUGGAAUGAUCUUGAAUAGUGUUGGUGCCACCUAUGUUGUGGCAUCAUUUUGAAACCAAUCAUUCAGAGUGCUUUUUUUGGUAAGGCAUUAUUUUUUAAUGCAGGUAUGCCACUACUGGGAAAAAAAAAAAAACAGGUUUUAAAGCUAGAAAUGAAAAGCUACUUAAGUAUCUUAAAGGAUAAGUUACUUUAUUAUACACUAGAAACAUACACAAUAGCUGAAAAACUUAAAAAAUCUCACACUGCUGAAUGUCUCUGCUGGCUGAAGUGUAAGUAAAAGAUCAUAGUAGUGCCGCUGUUGAGUGAUAAAGCAACUUGUCAUUAAAGAUGUGUGUGCAGACAUGGAUUCUGAGUUAAUAUCUCAUCUGUAGAAGUAUAUAUUUGUCCCUUGCUUUGGGAUUGGUUUCUGGACAGCACUCCCCCACCCUUGCUGGCCAUUUGCCAAGGACACCAAAACCCAAGGAUGUUGAAUUCCCUUUUAUAAAAUGGCGCUGUAUCUGCAUACAACUUACACACAUCCUCCCAUAUACUUUAAAUCAUUUCCAGAUUUCUUAUACUUCAUACAAUGUGAAUGCUAUAUAAAUAGUUGUUACAUUGUGUACUUAUAUUUGUACUAUUG
rnacentral:lncRNA from 1 species